rnacentral:rRNA from 1 species
UACGGAGGAUGCAAGCGUUAUCCGGAAUUAUUGGGCGUAAAGCGUCCGCAGGUGGUGGUUCAAGUCUGCUGUCAAAGCGUGGAGCUUAACUCCAUACAGGCAGUGGAAACUGAAUGACUAGAGUUCGGUAGGGGUAGCGGGAAUUCCCAGUGUAGCGGUGAAAUGCGUAGAUAUUGGGAAGAACACCGGCGGCGAAAGCGCGCUACUGGGCCGAGACUGACACUGAGUGACGAAAGCUAGGGGAGCGAAAGGG